rnacentral:rRNA from 1 species
UACAGAGGGCUCAAGCGUUGUUCGGAUUCAUUGGGCGUAAAGGGCUCGUAGGUGGCCAACUAAGUCAGACGUGAAAUCCCUCGGCUUAACCGGGGAACUGCGUCUGAUACUGGAUGGCUUGAGUUUGGGAGAGGGAUGCGGAAUUCCAGGUGUAGCGGUGAAAUGCGUAGAUAUCUGGAGGAACACCGGUGGCGAAGGCGGCAUCCUGGACCAAUACUGACACUGAGGAGCGAAAGCCAGGGGAGCAAACGGG